GACGAACGCUGGCGGCGUGCCUAAUACAUGCAAGUUGAGCGCUGAAGGUUGGUGCUUGUACCAACUGGAUGAGCAGCGAACGGGUGAGUAACGCGUGGGGAAUCUGCCUUUGAGCGGGGGACAACAUUUGGAAACGAAUGCUAAUACCGCAUAAAAACUUUAAACACAAGUUUCAAGUUUGAAAGAUGCAAUUGCUUCACCCAAUGAUGAUACCCCGUUCUAUUAGCUAGUUGGUGAGGUAAAGGCUCACCAAGGCCAAGGUACAUAGCCGACCUGAGAGGGUGAUCGGGCACAUUGGGACUGAGACACGGCCCAAACUCCUACGGGGGGCAGCAGUAGGGAAACUUUGGGAAUGGGCGAAAGUCUGACCGGGCAACGCCGCGUGGGGGAAGGAGGUUUUCGGAUCGUAAAACUCUGUUGGUAGGGAAGAACGUUAGGGGGAGUGGAAAGCUCAUCAAGUGACGGUAACUACUCAGAAAGGGACGGCUAACUACGUG
rnacentral:rRNA from 1 species